CUAUGACUACCCCAGGGUACGUAAGCAACCUAUUCUUAGUUGCCAAAAAAGGCGGCGGCCGCCGCCCAGUUAUCAACUUGAAACAACUCAACACUUUUGUGGCCUACAACCAUUUCAAAAUGGAGGGCAUACACUGCCUCCGAGAUCUCCUCCAGCCGUUGGACUGGAUGGUCAAGUUGGACCUGCAGGACGCCUAUCUCACGAUACCAAUCGCACGUCAGCACCAGGACUUCCUCCAAUUCAUAUGGCAAGGAAGGAAAUGGAGAUUCACCUGUCUCCCAUUCGGUCUGUCCUCAGCCCCAUGGUGUUUCACCAAACUUAUGAAGCCCGUGGUGGCUCUACUUCGAAGUCGAGGGGUUCGUCUCAUAAUCUACUUGGACGACAUCCUUAUCAUGGGUCGUUCCAACCACAUUCUCGAGACCCACCUGUCAUGGACUCAGACUCUUUUGCAAAAUUUGGGUUUCCUUAUCAAUUGGAAAAAAUCCAUCCUGACCCCUACACGACACAUAGAGUUUUUGGGCCUCGUAGUGGACUCUACUAUACAGACCCUACACUUGAUCUCCCUAAGACAAUUGGCGAGAGUGAUCGGCCUCUUGGCGGCUUCCAUACAGGCCAUUUUCCCGGGCCCUUUACACUAUCGAGCGCUACAGCGCCUGCAAGCCUCCCACUUGAGAGACGGGACCUCAUACACGGACAUGAUCGUUCUGGAUGCAGAAGCAAAGACAGAACUCAGAUGGUGGCUAUCCCAUAUGGACGCCUGGAAUAGCCAAGCCAUUUUCGGUACCGAACCGGAUAUAAUAAUAGAAUCCGAUGCGAGCUUGCACGGCUGGGGCGCACGCUGUGGCAAUGUCUCUACCGGUGGCAGAUGGUCCGAAGUGGAAUCGACGCUUCACAUCAAUUGCCUAGAGC